rnacentral:rRNA from 1 species
CCUACGGGUGGCAGCAGUGAGGAAUAUUGGUCAAUGGACGAGAGUCUGAACCAGCCAAGUAGCGUGAAGGAUGACUGCCCUAUGGGUUGUAAACUUCUUUUAUAUGGGAAUAAAACGUUCCACGUGUGGGAUUUUGUAUGUACCAUAUGAAUAAGGAUCGGCUAACUCCGUGCCAGCAGCCGCGGUAAUACGGAGGAUCCGAGCGUUAUCCGGAUUUAUUGGGUUUAAAGGGAGCGUAGGUGGCAUAAUAAGUAGCUAGUGAAAUCUGGUGGCUCAACCAUUCAGACUAUUAGCUAAACUGUUAAGCUCGAGACCGUUAGGGGUAACUGGAAUUUCUAGUGUAGGAGUGAAAUCCGUAGAUAUUAGAAAGAACACCAAUAGCGUAGGCAGGUUACUGGGACGGUUCUGACACUAAGGCACGAAAGCGUAGGGAGCAAACGGGAUUAGAUACCCCAGUAGUC